UGGCGGACGGGUGAGUAAUGUCUGGGAAACUGCCCGAUGGAGGGGGAUAACUACUGGAAGCGGUAGCUAAUACCGCAUAACGUCGCAAGACCGAAGAGGGGGACCUUCGGGCCUCUUGCCAUCGGAUGUGCCCAGAUGGGAUUAGCUAGUAGGUGGGGUAAAGGCUCACCUAGGCGACGAUCCCUAGCUGGUCUGAGAGGAUGACCAGCCACACUGGAACUGAGACACGGUCCAGACUCCUACGGGAGGCAGCAUG
rnacentral:rRNA from 1 species